rnacentral:snoRNA from 1 species
AUCCCAUGAUGAGGAUAGGCGGCCACAUACUCCUGCAGACGCUCCCAUGCUUCAGGUAUAGACUCAUCCCUUGUCUGCUGGAAACUUGAAAUCCUUUCACAAAGGGC